CACUGCUCUAAUCCAAGCUACGAUAGCGCUGCCCAGUCGCUGUUGUGGACAGUAGUGAGCCCAGAAUGACGCUUUCCUGACGGUCGCUGGUUAGGGUCAGUACUGUACCUGAUCUGCAACAUUACUGGGGGAACUACACCC